rnacentral:lncRNA from 1 species
CUCCUGCCUCUAUUUAUACAUACAAAUGAAGCUCUUAUUAUUGAUCUAAUUACAUAAUUGCAUACAUCAGCUCUAUCAAAAGGCACUCUUGCCUUUCUUUUAUUUUCCUUCUCGGGCCUAUAUCUUUACAUGCAGCUCUAUUAUUGUCAUCAUUUCAUAUGCAACUUUAUCAAAGGUACUCUAUUAUUGUCCUCUUUUCUUUAUUUCUUCACAUGUCGCUGGGACAAUCUCUUAGCUGGUAAGAUUCUUUGAUAGUGGUAAGACAUCCUAAAAAUUGAUGUAUGUCGAAUUUUGUAAUAUAGCUCUUUAAGAUAUCUGAUUUUCCAUGUCCUCCAUUUGAAACUAGCAUUCAAUUUUGAUAUUGACAUAAACAUGAGAAUUUUUUAUCAUACAAAUUUUUAACAAUAUUGUAUACGGUUUUGAUUCCAAGUGCUCUUCUAUAUCUGAUCCAUGACUUGGUCACCUUUGGAACCUUUUUAUCAUUUUCUAUAACAUUUAUUUGGAAAUUGGCGGCAAUAUAUACAAUUGAGAUUAUGUGUUAAACUAGAUAAUAAAUAAUUUCAUCAUAUUCAGGACUUAUUGAAUAAAAUUUCAAAUAUAUUCUUCGUCCCUUGGCAAAUCUUGAUACUUCUUUUAUGAAUAUGUUAUCAAAUUUCGAAAUUUCAAUCAAUUCUUUUCCUCCUUACAUGGCUGUCAUUCUAGGAUAAACAUUAUUUCUUGGAGAGAUUAAAUAUGAAUCACUUAUUUUUAUUUCAUAAAUGAUUCUGACUAUUUUGGCAUAUUUUUCUUCUUUUGGAUCUAAA